rnacentral:rRNA from 1 species
UACGUAGGGUGCAAGCGUUGUCCAGAAUUAUUGGGCGUAAAGAGCUCGUAGGCGGUCUGUCGCGUCGGCUGUGAAAACUCGGGGCUCAACUCCGAGCUUGCAGUCGAUACGGGCAGGCUAGAGUUCGGCAGGGGAGACUGGAAUUCCUGGUGUAGCGGUGAAAUGCGCAGAUAUCAGGAGGAACACCGGUGGCGAAGGCGGGUCUCUGGGCCGAUACUGACGCUGAGGAGCGAAAGCGUGGGGAGCGAACAGG